GGGCGUGUGAAUGGCAGCUGCUCCGUUCUAUAUGAGUCGUCUUUCCUCCUUUCUCUCUUUGUCUUCUCUUUUUCUCACUCUCUGAUCUUGGGUGUGAAUGACCCUGCAGGGCACAGUCCAGCUGCAAAUGGGGCUGGGCCUGGGCUGCAGCAUCUUCUGCCACAAGCAGGGGGGCAGAGUGAGAUAACCCUGAGACCUUACAAGGUUUAUCCUUAGGGCCAAGGAAGGAGCCUGAGUCCCAGGUGCAUCAUGGGAGACCCGGCCCCCGGCCCAUCCUCGCCUCUCUAAGGACAUCUUGGUGUGGACAGGACUGGACAGAAUGGAAGCCACAGCGCAGCCCCGAACCGGACCACCAGGGAACCACCAGGGUCCACGGACAGUGGAGGAAGGACCAGCUACUCACCGGAUGCCAUGGACACUGAUAAAUUGCGCCGGCCCCACUGAGAGGAAAUUUGUUGACACGAGGCUGCUGCCCCCGGCCACCCCCUUCCCAGCCCCUAGCCUGCAAUUGUAUCCCCUCGUUCCAGACAGUGCCAUUUCCUUUGGGAAGUUAAGGGUCAAACACUGCAUCCUGGGUGUCAUAUCAAUCCCUUGCAACUCCAGGAGGGUACGGAGGUGUGUGCAUGUGUGUGUGCCUCACGCGUGAGAGCGAGGGCCGGGACCAGAGCAGGGUCAGAGGGGCCGCCCCUCUUGGGUCGGGUAAAGGGUUAUGGAAACAGGAGUCUAGAGUUUGGGGCCGGUACUCCGUGGGCGGAUCCGAGCGGGUGUGAAGUCGCACUGGGG